AAUCAAAAACCUCUAAAUUCUAAAUCCAUUAUAAUGAUAAUUGCAGAGGUUAAUUCCAGUAAAUCCAUCUACGAAAAACAACAAUCCUAACUUUCUGUGAAGAACAAAAAACAUUACCCAGAAAAGGAAAGUGGACUUUUUAUGAGCUCAAUUUUGUUAAAUCAACUAAAAUUUGAGAAAUUAUUUAGCAUACUUAAUAGUUGGAGAAUUAAACUAUUAAUUUUAAAUACUCGAGGAAUUAUAUGGUCAUUUUCCCUGUGGUCUUUCGAUUCUCACUGUCUAGUUUUUGUUUUAUAAAUUUUUAAGAAAAUUUUCACCCGAUCUCUAUUUAGUUACGUUUAAUUUUUCUAAUAUAAAAUGUAAAAACGAAUUAUUAUAUUUAAAAAAUAUAUUUAUAUUUUUCCACAUAUGUUAUAACUUUCUUUUUCAAACAUAUAUAUAUAUAUAUAAUAAAAAAUAGGAAGAUGAAACAAAAGUAUUUCAUAUACUAUAUUUUUCGAGUUGAACAGAUAGAAUAUAAAUAAUGAUUCAUGUUAAUAGUAAUAGUUAAAUAGUACUAAUAUGAAUUGACUAGUUUAAAAUUUUGUGAAGACAAAAUUACAAGAUUCUAAAUCUAAUGCAAAAAUAAAAAAUUUCAUAUUCUUUUUUUUCCUCCAAAACCAAUGCAUAUUUCAUUUGUAAUGUGUUGUAAAUAUAAUGAUAUAACUAUUAUAUUUUAUUGAAUUAAUAUAGCAUGUUACUUUCUCUUCAUUCUUCCUUCUUCCUAAGUAUUCCUCUUCUUCUUUUUUUUUUUGUUUUUUUCAUCCCUCUUAUGUCUUCAUGUGGCUGAACAAAUAAACUGAAUCCGAAAAUUCGAACCAAAUCUAAUCCUAUAAAAAUGAAUCCGAACCGAUCUGAAACCGACAUAAAUACCGAAUGGAUUUUGUUUUAUGGUAUUUUAGGUUAUGAAUAUUAUCCGAACCGAACCCGAACCUAAAUGGAUAUCCGAUAGAACCCGAAACAUUCAAAAUCUCAAAAAAAAAGAAUUUGUACAAAACAAGAUCUCAUUUUCUAAUAUGUAUCCAAAAUACACUAAGGGGGUGUAUUCAACUAAGAGUUUCAAGUGAUUUGUAUUAAAAUGACAAAUCCACUGCUAUUCAAACAUUGAUUUUUAAAAACACUUUAAAAUCCAGUGUUAUUGAACUUGUCAUUUCAUAAAACACUCUGAAAUCCACUGUUAUUGAAUAAAAUUUAAGUUGAAGAUUUUAGAGUACUUUAAUUGUUUCUAGAGUGUUUGAGGGGAGUUCCUUAGUUAUAAAAAUAAAAAUUCAAAUCCCACUGUUUUAUAAGAGAUUCUAGAGUAUUUUAACAAAAAUCACACCAAAUUCUCUAAUUCUCUUGCAAUCAUCUACAAACUCAUUAAAAAUCAAAUUACUUCAAAUGUCAGAUUCAAUACACCCCCUAAGAGAUUAUUGACAUCUAAAAUAAUUAUCUAUUAUGUGAAGGUUGAUGGUUGAUGGUUGAAGGUGGCGAUUGAAUCUUGAAGUUUUUAGAUUUUGGUUUUGUUUUCAUUGAAUAAUGACUUUUAUUUCAUGAGAACUUAGUUUGCGUUUUAUGCUUUCAUUUAUUUGGUUUUGUUUCUAUCAAUAACUAUGUUUAUCUCUCGUUUAAUUUUGAUUGAUCACGUUUGAUGUUCUUUUCUUAUUUUUGAAUCGAUUUUACUUAUGUUUUGGUUACAAAAUAGGCACAAUCAAGUACUUUAAAACCAAAGAAUCUAUUUUACUUAUGUUUUGGUUACAAAGUAGAUAGAAAUCAAGUACUUUUAAACAAAUAAACAAUUGGGACCCGAACCCAAAAGUACAUCGGGUUCUACCAGUUCUUUGAAGAUUUACUAACUCCGACCCAAAUCUGAUAGAAUCCGAACCAGUCCUGAACCGAACUUUCAUAUAACCUGAAUGAGGUUUAUUUUGAUGAACCCAAAAAACCGAGACCCGAUUGGAACUCCGAAUACCCAUGCCUAUAUCUUUCAUUCUCCUCAUGUGCUCUCCUCUUCUUCCCCUUCCCUCUAUGUCCUCUUACUUCUCCUCCUUUUCCCUCAAUGCUCAUCUUUUUCCCUCUUUUUUUUCCUCCUCCACCUCCUCUCUUCUCUUCUUCACACGCUCGCUUUUCUCAUCUUCCACCUCCUCCCGGCUCUUGCCUCUUCCUUUUUCUCCUUCUUUUUUUUAAUAAAUUGAUCGAUCGAUCUACAAAUUUAUGAAAAUAAGUCCCCAAAAAUUUAUAUCUAAUAGCAAUAUAAUUUUCAUAUUUUUUAACAAUCAAUGUGUAUCUAUUAAUACUAUAAUAUAAAUAUUAUCAAUAUUAUUUUGUUUUAUGGAUAUAUAAUAGUAUUAUUCCUUCUUUUUUUUAUUUCUAUGAAUUGAUUGGUUAUAUUAUUUAUUUGAUAUACUAUUCUACUUCGUAGUUUUCCAGUGUAGAACAUUUAUGUUGAAUUUUCAAGUGCAUGCCAACUUUAUCACGGGACAUUAAUCCCACACCCAUUCGCGAAUCAUACAAUAACUAAAAGCUGAAUAUCUCAAGGGAGAGGCCCUCCACGUCGACAGAUAAAAUCGACCAAUGGGGUUUGUUCGUUUGUCCACGUCAAACAAACUUGGGCUGAUUUUGGGCUUCUAUGUUUUAUUGAUCCGUUCAAAAUAAAAGAAAGCUCAUCCUCUUAUAUAUAUAAAGAACAAACAAAUGAGGACGAAACUAUGCGUUUCAUUAAACCGUAGAAACGAAAUCAUCCGUCGACGGCUAUGCACUGGCUUUCGCGAUUCUUCUUGCGAUCUGAAACAAUUUGAUUAAUGGCUUUAUGAUAAAUCCAAUUGAUUCACCUCUCCACGAUCCAUCUUCUUCUUGAACUCAUCUUCUCUUUGUAUCUCUUAAAUCAUUCUCUGAUGAUCGCCAUAAAUAUCCCCUUCAGGUCUAUUUGAUUCUCUAUUGUUUUUUAUUUGUUAAUCUGAUGUUUUGGGGUCACUCUUACAGUAGGUUUGGUCACAGACGUAGCUCAUGCUUGCUGCUUAGGUGAUGAAGUCAGUCAUGGCGGUUGCCGAGGAAGGUAAGCACGACAGAUGAGUUAUUAUACUUUUUUAUGGAGUAACUGAUCAGAAAUUCAGAAAUAAAUACAGUAGAUGUGAGUUAUUAUAUUUUCUGAAUCUAUUUAUUUUAAUGUACUAGAGAAAAUGCCGGCCAGGAAAAAUGGAAUAUAGCCGAAAAACGCCACUGCGAUGAUCUCUAGACUGACUGUUGGCUUUCUAUUGAUAACCCUUCAGAUAUUUACAUCAUCCCCUCAUCGGGUAAGUAUGAAAAAGAUUCUACCAUGUUCAUCUGAUUAGAUUAAUCUAAACUCCUUUGUGUUGACCUGAGGCCAUCGUUUGGCUUACCCUCCAUGUCUUUAAGUUUCUUUCCAGAUGAUUCUACUUUCAGUAUUAGUUGCAGUUUUGAAUUAUAGUUUCCUUCUGUUUCUCCAGGUUUGUCUGGAUGUUUACUAAGCCUACCAUAUGUCCAUAUGAUUUAUUGUGACUCUCCAUGAGCAGAGCUUUUGCAGAUAACAAAGUCAUCGAGUUAGAUCCUACAUUGGCAAGAGCUUACCUCCGAAAGGGUACUGAAGCUAGAAGAAUAUUCUACUACUAAAGCAACACCAAAUGAUACCAAGUUUAAGAGGAUGAUAGAUGCAUUCAAUCUUCACAUUGCAUGUCUCAUUCAUCUUUUGUCUAUUUGGCAAUUAAACUUACUGAAGAAGUUGCAAGGGAUAAGCAAAGUUGCUUCUUCUUCAGGAAACAAGUAAGCAUCACCUCCUCUCUGAGAAAUGUUCCAUUGUUUCUUCGACUUUGGAUCAAUUUUCCGGAGGUUUUAACACUUUCACUGAAAAUUUUAAGGUUAGGUUGAUGUGUUCGUAUUGCAAGAAACACAAUGAAAAUUUUCACGAACGAAAAUAUGAUGGUAGAAACACUGACACCAAAGAAGUUGCUUAUUCUAGCUCUUCAAGAAGCUGAGAGAAAUGGAAAUAGCAUAUAUAUUAUCUGCCUUAUCCGUGUGGAGGAUUCAGAGGAUGAGGACC